rnacentral:ncRNA from 1 species
AGGGACCUUCGGGGCCCUAAUUCAACGGAAGACAGAAA